GGCAAGUCUAUUGAUCAGUUCAGAUUGAUCAGAACAUGUGAUGAUCUUAUGAGUUACAAGGUUUAUGCAAUUUGAUAAUGGUAUUGACAUUGGACACAGUAUGUCCACUUGUUUUCACUAUCUCUAUGCUAAUCUCUCAUUCAGAAGUUUUAUUAGUUUCACAAUGAAGGCCUCUUAUCUAAAAGUUGAUGUGCAGGUAGCUUCCGAGAUUACUAUCUCAAGACAUUUCAACAGGAAGGGAGUACGACCUGUAACUUGACUGAAGCUGUUUGACAUCAUAGGGAUUUUUUGUUGAUGCAAAAGUAUAAAUUUGGCUAAAUUUCUUGAGUUAAUUUAUGCUAGGUAGUUCACAGCUUUUACCAAGUUGUUGUGAGUGGUCUGCUUAGUAGCAUGCAUGUGAGAUGCUAUUUUAUUGAUGUUCUUUUGUUUGCAUGUGUGUAGAUGAAGGAAUGGGUAUUGUAUGUUGGAACAAAAGGUUGCUGGUAUCAGACUUUUGGUUGGGGCAUAGUUAGUACCUGAUGUAAAAGUUGGGGCAGAGUUACUGUUUCAUGUGGUUGUGAUUUGAUGAGGCACUCCUCAUGUGAGGGUGUGAAAAUUACCAUUUGAUCAACGAUCAGACAACACAUGUUUGAGAUGUGGGCCAUUUAUCAGGAAAUUUCUAGGCUUUCCCCCCCUUUGAAGCGUGAGAUAAUGCUGAAAUCUGCAUAUUUUGGAAGCCCAUUUUGAACUGUGAUACGUGUGCAGGCAUAGAUCUAUGUUUGUGUGUAGGUCAAGGGCAUUGAGUACAAAGUAUAACUCUCUCCCAAACAAAUCUUCCCAACCAUUUGAGACCGUGAUUGAGAUGAAUUUGUGUAAGCUAUCACUCCUCAUAUCUCUCUCCCUUUGCAAUUUAUUUCCCAGGAAGAAGAGUGGGCUAGAAAUAGAAUGAUGCUAGAUUCACUGUAUGAGAGUCAUCCUUUAGCUCCAUCAAUUAUCUUACUAUACCAAUUGCAGUACCAUUCACCAAUGCAAGGAAUGCAUCCUUUUCAAAUGGACACAGAUACCAGAAAUGCUACUUAUCUUAAUCCUCCCGCCCACCAGGACAUUCCAAAACCUUCCAAAGGUGUAAUCAUGCCAGCAAAGGUAUUUCAGAAAAUAAAAGAAGGCUAAUUUCAGGUUCCUUAUCUUUAACCUCUAAAUGCAGACACCACAUGUUCCAACAACAUGGGACGUGUGUGGCAUCUAGGACGCUUAUCAAUCGAUCUUCCUAGUGUGCAUGUUAUGUGCUAAAAAUCAGGCUGGCUCACUCAGGUGAGCGAGACAUACAACAUUGAAAGACCAUUGGGUAUCAUUUUUAUAACGGUCAUUUUUGUCAUGCAUGUAUGGCCUGCAUGAUAAAUGGACCUGCCUAACCUUAAGCCAAGGAACAUGAACUGUCUGGAUUACCCUAUGAGUGCCCAGGGUCCUGUAAACAUGUUCCAUGCUGCUACAUGUGGUUUGUUUGUGCCUUCUGUUCGAAGAUGUGACAUCUAAAAUUAGCAUUCCUUAUAUUGGCAUGUAAGCAACAUAUCCUUUUGUCUAAAAACUUUGACUAUCAUUCGCUUAUUUGUGAUGGUUGCUUGAUCAAAUUGAAUGGCCCAUCUAGCAAUUGAUAGCUCUGUUAUAUUGUUUCAACAUUGCAAUUAAUGGUAUAUUUUUUAAUUCAUUUAUUCUAUCUUCAUGGAAUGCUACUUUUUAACUUUUUUUUUUUUCCUCAUG